AAAGUUUUAGUAUAAUUUUAGUAUAAUUCAUUGUCAAUGAAUAGGAUUAAAACUUUU
rnacentral:tRNA from 1 species